rnacentral:rRNA from 1 species
UACGUAGGGAGCAAGCGUUGUCCGGAAUCAUUGGGCGUAAAGAGCGUGUAGGCGGCCAGACAGGUCCGUUGUGAAAACUCGAGGCUCAACCUCGAGAUGUCGAUGGAAACCGUCUGGCUAGAGUCCGGAAGAGGAGUGUGGAAUUCCUGGUGUAGCGGUGAAAUGCGCAGAUAUCAGGAAGAACACCUAUGGCGAAGGCAGCACUCUGGGACGGUACUGACGCUGAGACGCGAAAGCGUGGGGAGCGAACAGG